GUGGGGAAUAUUGCACAAUGGGGGAAACCCUGAUGCAGCCAUGCCGCGUGUGUGAAGAAGGCCUUCGGGUUGUAAAGCACUUUCAGCGAGGAGGAAAGGAUGCUGGCUAAUAUCCAGCAUCUGUGACGUUACUCGCAGAAGAAGCACCGGCUAACUCUGUGUCAGCAGCCGCGGUAAUACAGAGGGUGCAAGCGUUAAUCGGAAUUACUGGGCGUAAAGCGCACGCAGGCGGUUGGAUAAGUUAGAUGUGAAAGCCCCGGGCUCAACCUGGGAAUUGCAUUUAAAACUGUCCAGCUAGAGUCUUGUAGAGGGGGGUAGAAUUCCAGGUGUAGCGGUGAAAUGCGUAGAGAUCUGGAGGAAUACCGGUGGCGAAGGCGGCCCCCUGGACAAAGACUGACGCUCAGGUGCGAAAGCGUGGGGAGCAAACAGGAUUAGAUACCCCGGUAGUCC
rnacentral:rRNA from 1 species